rnacentral:rRNA from 1 species
CACGUAGGAGGCGAGCGUUGUCCGGAAUCACUGGGCGUAAAGCGCACGUAGGCGGCUUUCUAAGUCAGGGGUGAAAUCCUGGAGCUCAACUCCAGAACUGCCUUUGAUACUGGGAAGCUCGAGUCCGGAAGAGGUGAGUGGAACUCCGAGUGUAGAGGUGAAAUUCGUAGAUAUUCGGAAGAACACCAGUGGCGAAGGCGGCUCACUGGUCCGGUACUGACGCUGAGGUGCGAAAGCGUGGGGAGCAAACAGG